rnacentral:misc_RNA from 1 species
AGCAGCCGCGGUAAUUCCAGCUCCAAUAGCGUAUAUUAAAGUUGUUGCAGUUAAAAAGCUCGUAGUUGAAUUUCGGGAUCAAAGAAUCGGUCAUGCCUUGGUAUGUACUGGUUUUAUUGGUUCUCACCUUCUAAAGAACCAUGAUGUCAUUCAUUUGAUGUUAUGGGGAAUUAGGACUGUUACCUUGAAAAAAUUAGAGUGUUUAAAGCAAGCUUACGCUUGAAUACAUUAGCAUGGAAUAAUGAAAUAGGACAUCAGAUUCUAUUUUGUUGGUUUCUAGGAUCGAUGUAAUGAUUAAUAGGGAUAGUUGGGGGCAUUAGUAUUCAAUUGUCAGAGGUGAAAUUCUUGGAUUUAUUGAAGACUAACUACUGCGAAAGCAUUUGCCAAGGAUGUUUUCAUUAAUCAAGAACGAAAGUUAGGGGAUCGAAGACGAUCAGAUACCGUCGUAGUCUUAACCAUAAACUAUGCCGACUAGGGAUCGGAUGAUGUUAAUUUUUAAUGACUCAUUC